rnacentral:rRNA from 1 species
AUUGAACGCUGGCGGCAGGCUUAACACAUGCAAGUCGAGCGGAGAUGAGGUGCUUGCACCUUAUCUUAGCGGCGGACGGGUGAGUAAUGCUUAGGAAUCUGCCGAUUAGUGGGGGACAACAUUCCGAAAGGAAUGCUAAUACCGCAUACGUCCUACGGGAGAAAGCAGGGGAUCUUCGGACCUUGCGCUAAUAGAUGAGCCUAAGUCGGAUUAGCUAGUUGGUGGGGUAAAGGCCUACCAAGGCGACGAUCUGUAGCGGGUCUGAGAGGAUGAUCCGCCACACUGGGACUGAGACACGGCCCAGACUCCUACGGGAGGCAGCAGUGGGGAAUAUUGGACGAUGGGGGGAACCCUGAUCCAGCCAUGCCGCGUGUGUGAAGAAGGCCUUAUGGUUGUAAAGCACUUUAAGCGAGGAGGAGGCUACUGAGACUAAUACUCUUGGAUAGUGGACGUUACUCGCAGAAUAAGCACCGGCUAACUCUGUGCCAGCCGCCGCGGUAAUAC